CGAGAUCCAUCUGGUGGCAACACCAGUGAAGAUCUAGUGGCGAACGGGUGCGGAACACGUGAGCAACCUGCCCCAAAGACUGGGAUAACAGCGGGAAACCGCUGCUAAUACCGGAUACCCCCACGAGGUCGCAUGGCCUUGUGCGGAAAGGAUUCCGCUUUGGGAGGGGCUCGCGGCCUAUCAGUUUGUUGGUGAGGUAACGGCUCACCAAGACUACGACGGGUAGCUGGUCUGAGAGGACGAUCAGCCACACUGGGACUGAGACACGGCCCAGACUCCUACGGGAGGCAGCAGUGGGGAAUCUUGCGCAAUGGGCGAAAGCCUGACGCAGCAACGCCGCGUGGGGGAUGAAGGCCUUCGGGUUGUAAACCCCUUUCAGUGGGAACGAAACUGACGGUACCCACAGAAGAAGCCCCGGCCAACUACGUGCCAGCAGCCGCGGUGAUACGUAGGGGGCGAGCGUUGUCCGGAUUCAUUGGGCGUAAAGAGCUCGUAGGCGGCUUGGUAAGUCGGGUGUGAAACCCCCAGGCUCAACCUGGGGACGCCACUCGAUACUGCCAUAGCUAGAGUCCGGUAGGGGACCACGGAAUUCCUGGUGUAGCGGUGAAAUGCGCAGAUAUCAGGAGGAACACCAGUGGCGAAGGCGGUGGUCUG
rnacentral:rRNA from 1 species